UUGGAGGUUGCUGCGGGCCACCUGAUGAGGGUGUUUGAAACCAAACUCAGGUCCUCUGAAGAGCAGUACAGGCUCUUAACUACUGAGCUGUCUCCAGCUCUGCAGUCGCUAUUUUUACUUUGGUGUUUGUUUGUUUGUUUGUAGAACAGGCUGGCCUCUAACUCGAUCCUCCUGCUUCUUCUUCUCCAGUCCUGGGAUUAAAGGCAAGUACUACCAGAGCCUGGCUUGCCAGUCACUGUUUUGAAGGCUAAAUAUUGAAAAUUCCUCCAGACUCUGAAAGAAUACUAGUCAAAAGUGUCUCUCUAGGUCCAGGGAAGUCAGGGAUAAGGUGGUUUUCUGCCUCCACCCUUUGACGUCUUUUGCUUACAUUUAUCCUAUAGAAAAUUUCUGUUGCUUGGUGACAGCAGGUCUGUCUAUGCCAGGGGUGGCAGUGACUCUGCCCUGUGUCUGAGUCAUUUCCACAGUUUCACACAGUUAGGAUUAUGAUGGAGAAGGAAGGAUCACACUGCUGUCCACACAGGGCUCUCUCUCUGCCUUCCUCACACCCCAGACUUCAAGUUCUGGGUGCUAGGUGGUUGCAACUUCCUGUGGGGGGUGGACCCUCUCCUCGUUCUAUCUCACCAUUAGGAUAGCGUUCCUGUUUCCUCUGGCAGGUCCCCAAAGCCACUCAUUCACACUACCUUGCCUUCUUUCUCAGCUUUAGAUAUCAUGGCACUUUUUAUGCCUUUCUCCAAGACCUCUUUUGGUGACAGAAGGGACCUGGGUGGCUUAGCACAUCUAUUCCUAGGCUUCCGGAACCCUGAAUAAAGGACUGGUGCUAUCUUCUACCCUCUAUGCCUCCAGAGUACUAAGUGUGGGUUUGGUUUCAGAGAAAUUUUAUCCAUCUUUGCUUGGCUUCCUUUUUCUCCCACUCUCCUUCUCUCUUCCUCCUCCUCCUCCUCACUUCCUCCUCCUUUCUUUCUUUUCUUUCUUCUUGACAGCUUUUUUUUUUUUUAAAUAUAGAUGACCUGGAGCUCUAUGCAGACCAGCGUAGCUUCUAACUCAUAGAAAUUCUCCUGCCUAUGCCUUCCUAGAGAUGGAAGGUAAAGAGUAUACCACCACACCCAACUAUCUUUGCCUGGAAUUUGCUAUAUAGAUGAGGCUGACCUUGAACUUCUGACCCUCUUGAUUUCUUCCCCCCCUCCUCCACCUACCCUGCCCAGGCUGUCCUGUGCUAAGGAUGAAACCCAGGGCCUCAUGCUUGCUAAGCACAAAUCCUACCAGCUGGGCUGCAUUUCUAACCUCUCUCCCUCUUUGAAUCAGUGAACAAUUAUGGAGUGCUGCUCAAGUCUGAGGUCCUGGACUGGGCACCAGGGAGGGCCUGGUGGACAAAACAGCCCGACAUGCCAAGAAGGCCACAGUUCUUACUGACUGAGACGGGUCAGCUAUGUCCAGAUUAACUACAGGGCUGGUGAGUCUUAGCUUUGAGUUCUAGGUGCACCCUCUGCUUGGACACACAAAUCUACCAGGUACCCUCCAGGUCUGUGCCCCCGCUUAGAGUUAUUACCUCUCAGCUUUCAGGAUUCCUGCCCUCCUGCCCAUCCUGGCAGUGGGAAGUCUCAGGUUGCGUGCCAGAGACUCUCUCCUGAAUAAGCCAGGAGACAGCUGCUAUGCUUUUGUCUCUUUACAACCGGAUAGUCUGCCUUUGUCAUCUUCUCUCCCACUUAGAGGUGUCUUUGUGACAGGCUCAAGCAUACUGCUUUAUUGUGUUCCCCCAUUUGUAGGUAGCUGUGUCUACCAUGCUGUACCAGAAAGUACAUUACUUCUCAGGGACAGUGUGACAAUGGCAUGGACAUGCUGUGUGCUGAGUUCUGAUUGGCUGGUUUGUUUGCUGUUGUCUUCAGCCAGUGAGCUCUGGAGGGUUAGGAUAUUGUCAGAAGUGGUUUUCCUACUAAGAUUCAACUAGCUUUGAGAGAAAAAAAAAUUGAAACCAAAAUGCAUGUCUAUUAGCCCAAUGCAGUUCAACUAUUGACAAAGAAGUAAUCUAAAAAAUGACAUAGGGCUGGAGAGAUGCCUCAGCAAGAAAAGGCAGUGGUCCUUAAGCCAACAACCUGAGCUUGAUCCUGGGACCACAUAGAGAGAACUGACUCCUGCAAGUUGUGCUCUGGCUUCCAUACUUGUGUGCACGUAAGUAAAUACUAAAGGUAAUGAAAUGUUUUUAAUGCUCUGAAGCAUACAGGAGGAGGCUCAUGGGUUCUCUGCAGUGACUAUCCACGGGAGUCCUGGCAUCAGACCCCCACUGUCACUUGAGGACAACUGUAGUGUCUGUGUCCAUGCUGAAGCAUUUCAGUGUGCUAGCAAGAAGCUCCCAAGGUCUCCUUCCCUUUGUCAGGACAACUGGCUGUGUUUUUGAUGGCAGCUGCUUCCCCAGCCCGGGUCCUAUAAUGAUGAGCAGUGUCACUGCAGUCUUAGCCAAUUCUGAUACACAGAAUGAGAAACCCAGCCUGAGCCCCUCCUGCUGGGAAGCUCACCCCAGAGCAUUUUACAUUUCAAGUUCCAGUGGGGAAAGUGUGCUCAAUGGCUUUUUCCAGAACUUUGGAAACAAAGUGCCUAGAAGCAGUGGACUUCUCUUUUAACAGUGGUUGAAAAUAGAUGCUAGCCAUUGCUCCUUCCCUCGCCUGCUAGCCUGUGUGGUCCAUACUGACUGAGUUGGAAAGCUAGGCUUGUUUAAGAAGCCAUAGUUCCUGUCUGUUUGCUUUCCCUGCCAGCUGCAUGUGUCUGCACCUGGUCAUGCGUCAGUUGCCUCUAGAAUUGGUGGCCUCUCAGGCUCUUUGUCUUUGUGGCUGGUGAUUUGUUGAAGUUACCCCUCUGAUUGAUCUUUGGUUUUCAUCUCUAUACCAACCUGUCACCUGGGUUUCAAGUGAGAAGAGCCUCCAGUGGACUCUGUGGGAGUCGGGUCUCUCCUUUUACCCUUUGGUUCCCGGGGACCGCCCUCAGGACAUUAGGUUUGCCUGCCAGCACCUUUACCUGCUCAGGCACCUUGCUGGCCUGUGCACAGAUGUGGGCUUGGGCCCGUGCAUGCAUGGUCAGUUGACUACCUUGUCCCAUUAAAGCCAAAUAUCACUGUGCCUCCUAUAUUUCCCUCUUUUUUUUUAAAGAUAUAUUUAUUUAUUUAAUGUAUAUGAGUACACUAUAGCUAUCUUCUCACACACCAGAAGAGGGCGUCAGAUCUCAUUACAGAUGGUUGUGAGCCACCAUGUGGUUGCUGGGAUUUGAACUCAGGACCUCUGGAAGAGCAGUCGGUGCUCUUAACCACUGAGCCAUCUCUCCAGCCCCCUAUAUUUCCCUCUUGACGGGAACUGUGCCUCAGACUACACGCACACAGAGUGUGCAGAGCAGUCCCCAUGACGGGCAUCGGGCCUGUUUUGAUAUUGAUUCCUGUAUGUUUUGUUCUGGCAUUGAUAACCUAGUCAGAGAUUGUGUUUUAUAUUUCAAUUUUGUUCUCUCUAAGCUCAAAAUUCAUGCUCCAGCAAUGCUAGUCACUUGUUGAAUCUGUUACACAGCAAAAGAAAACAAUUUUCCUCUGGUAUUAAAAUGUCAGCAGUCAGUAGACUUUUAAAUUAGACUGAAACUAUGCCGUUUCUAAGUCUAAAUAAUUUUUGCACUUAGUUGUAAGUUAAAAAAUAAUUUAGUCUCAUUUAUAGUUGGGUAAACACUUUUAACCUGUCAGUUGGAUCAUAACUAUGUCAGAGUCUGUUGCCUUUUAAAUGACUCCAGUCAUGUGUCAGACUCUCUCAACAUAUAAGCACCUUUUGUAAAUCUAACAAAUUAAACAUGUAAACGUGGUAAACCUAAUUACUCUUACAUGUUUCAAGUGUUUAUAAACUUAGAAAGAUUUUUACUGAAAAAUCACAAAUCUAAAUAGGUUACUUGGCUGGUUUUUUUUUUUUCAUUAAUUCAUUUAUUGAUUCACUUUACAUUCCAAUUGAAGCCCCCUUCCUCCUCUCCUCUCAGUCCCACCCUCCUAUUCCCCUUCUCCUAUUUCUCCAUCCCCUUAGAGAAGGGGAGGCACCCCAUUCCUGGGUACCAACCUGCCCUGUCACAUAAAGUCUCACCAGGACUAAACACAUCCUCUCUCACUGAGGCCAGACAGGUCAGCCCUGCUAGAGGAAAGGGAUUCAAAGACAGGUAACAGAGUCAGGGAUUGUCCCCAUCCAAUUUUGGGGGGAUCCACAUGAAGACCAAACUGCAUAUCUGCUACAUAUGUGUAGCAGGGACUCUGGAUUUUGAUACAUACAUUUACAGAAAAAUUGGUAUUAUAUACAUGGACUGAUCAUGACUCAGUGUUUGCUUAGCAUGUGGGAAGCCUUAGAUUUGGUACCCAGCACCAAAUAAACUGGGCAUAGUGUCACAUGCCCUUAAUCCUACUGAGAUUUAGAAGCAGGAAGCUCAUAAUUUAAAGGUUGUCCUUGGAUACAUAGAGUAUUUGAGGCUAGCCUUGCCUAUAUAAGAUCCUGUCCCCCC
rnacentral:lncRNA from 1 species